rnacentral:tRNA from 1 species
UGGGGUAUAGUUCAGUGGUAGAGCGCAUGCUUAAGAGUGCAAGAGAUCCUGGGUUCAAUCCCCAGUACUUCCA